rnacentral:rRNA from 1 species
CAGUCGAACGGAGAAAGUAACUGCACUGGGCUUUUAGGUGAGUGCGGGAAGGGAAAAGGGAAGCACAAGGGUAAAGGCUGAGUGCAGAUACUUUCUUAGUGGCGGACGGGUGAGUAACACGUGAGCAACCUGGCUUUCAGAGGGGGAUAACGUCUGGAAACGGACGCUAAAACCGCAUAAAAUCCUUGGCGGGCAUCCGCAGGGGAUCAAAUGAGAAAUCAGCUGAAAGAUGGGCUCGCGGCCGAUUAGGCAGUUGGCGGGGUAACGGCCCACCAAACCGACGAUCGGUAGCCGGACUGAGAGGUUGAACGGCCACAUUGGGACUGAGACACGGCCCAGACUCCUACGGGAGGCAGCAGUGGGGGAUAUUGCACAAUGGGGGGAACCCUGAUGCAGCGACGCCGCGUGAGGGAAGAAGGUUUUCGGAUUGUAAACCUCUGUCUUUGGUGACGAGAGUGACGGUAGCCAAGGAGGAAGCCACGGCUAACUACGUGCCAGCAGCCGCGGUAAUACGUAGGUGGCAAGCGUUGUCCGGAAUUACUGGGUGUAAAGGGAGCGUAGGCGGGAGAUCAAGUUGGACGUUAAAUUCAUCGGCUCAACCGGUGCAAGCGUUCAAAACUGGUUUUCUUGAGUGGAGUAGAGGUAAGCGGAAUUCCUAGUGUAGCGGUGAAAUGCGUAAAUAUUAGGAGGAACACCAGUGCGAAGGCGGCUUACUGGGCUUUAACUGACGCUGAGGCUCGAAAGCGUGGGUAGCAAACAGGAUUAGAUACCCUGGUAGUCCAUGCUGUAAACGAUGAUUACUAG